UUGGAGGAGAUGCAGGCGUUUCUACCACUGCUUAGGAGAAGCUGGGUGGGCAGGAACCAGCACAGGGGACGGGGUUCCAGUUCUGCCGCUGCACACUCAGGAGCGCAGUUAAGGUUGGGAACAAGGAGCUCGGGCCAGCGGAUCUGGGCUGGUGGCCUUCAGAGACCAGAAUUUCUUAACAGGAUUCUUUUUAAGUUUAAAGGGAAAA